UCUGUGGAGCGUUACAUCAAACCGAAGUAGCUUCGGCGAAACGGGACGCGAUGAAGCAGAAA
rnacentral:sRNA from 12 species